AUGCUGGAGAGAGGACUGUUGCUGGAGCUGAAGCUGUGGGAUGACAGGCAUAGAUUUCACAGAACAUGUGUUCUGAAAACCUGUAGCGGUGUCACCUUCAAGCUGUCAUUUCAGGGGGAUAUUGCAAGCGAGGUACAGCCAGCCCAGCUUAUGAUUUGCAUGGGAGACAUCCGAGACACUACAGGGCAAAGCAAAAGCACAAAAGGUACACCUCACCCCAAAGAGAAAAGGAGGACACCCAUGCCCCACAGUUUGUCCUGGCUAAACACUCCACUUGAGCCCCCAGUGCAGCCCAGAGGGGGUGAGGAGCAGGACCCGAGGAGGAAGAGUGAUGCUUUAACCAUUCAGCUGGUCUGGCUGAGCACUGGCAGGCUGGCAGAGCUGCUCCUGUACCCCCCAAACACCCCGUGGAGUCAGGCUGACACCCCCCAGAGAUGUCCCUCAUGCCUGGAGGUGUUAUCACUGUUGUCUGUGGUCCUUUUCUGAGGUCCUGGCAUGGCACGUGGGUGUUGUGCCACUCCCCAUGGCCCUGAGAGCUGGCACUUCCCAGUGAGGUGUUUGGUUGGGGUGUGCCAGCUGGACUGAGCAGAGAUUUGCUUCUUGAUGAUGGGUGCCAGGACAUGGGAGCAAAACUGUGAUGUUAUGGAAAGCUCAUGGGGUAGGAAAGCAUUUCUUGUGGGGUACAAGGAGAGGGAGCAAGGAGGCUUUCUCACUGUGCCUCACCAGAGGCCAGCUCACCAGAGAACUUCAAUAAAGCAGUGAAGAGGGGAAGAUGUUUUGGGCUC
rnacentral:lncRNA from 1 species